rnacentral:piRNA from 1 species
UCCAUGGUGUCUGAACCAGCCAGUCCUA